rnacentral:rRNA from 1 species
UACGGGGGGAGCAAGCGUUGUUCGGAUUUACUGGGCGUAAAGGGCGCGUAGGCGGCGCAACAAGUCACUUGUGAAAUCUCCGGGCUUAACUCGGAAAGGUCAAGUGAUACUGUUGUGCUAGAGUGCGGAAGGGGCAACUGGAAUUCUCGGUGUAGCGGUGAAAUGCGUAGAUAUCGAGAGGAACACCUGCGGCGAAGGCGGGUUGCUGGGCCGACAUUGACGCUGAUGCGCGAAAGCCAGGGGAGCGAACGGG